rnacentral:rRNA from 1 species
UACGUAGGGGGCAAGCGUUGUCCGGAAUCAUUGGGCGUAAAGCGCGUGUAGGCGGUUCGGUAAGUCUGCUGUGAAAGUCCAGGGCUCAACCCUGGGAUGCCGGUGGAUACUGUCGGACUAGAGUACGGAAGAGGCGAGUGGAAUUCCUGGUGUAGCGGUGAAAUGCGCAGAUAUCAGGAAGAACACCAAUGGCGAAGGCAGCUCUCUGGGACGGUACUGACGCUGAGACGCGAAAGCGUGGGGAGCAAACGGG